rnacentral:rRNA from 1 species
AAAAAAAAAUUUUUUUUUAUUACAAUAUCUCUUAAGGGAAGAUGGAAAUGGAACAAGCAAAUAUUUGUUUGUUAAAAUUUUCCGCACUCCCAGGGCGCUUGUAUCUCGCUUUGCGAAUCGAUGCGCACCUAGAGCGUACACGAUGAUACCCGAAAGAUGGUGAACUAUGCCUGGCCAGGACGAAGCCAGGGGAAACCCUGGUGGAGGUCCGCAGCGAUUCUGACGUGCAAAUCGAUCGUCGGAGCUGGGUAUAGGGGCGAAAGACCAAUCGAACCAUCUAGUAGCUGGUUCCCUCUGAAGUUUCCCUCAGGAUAGCUUGCACUCGGUUGAGAAGAAAGAGUCUCAUCCGGUAGAGCGAAUGAUUAGAGGCAUUGGGGUCGAAACGACCUCAACCUAUUCUCAAACUCCAAAUAGAUGAGAUCCCCGGCUU